CCUUUUUCCAACUAGAUGCCAGUUGUAAUUAAUAGCCAGAAUACUGUCCCAUAUUAGAGUGAUGAAGUAAAUAUAAUGCCCUUCAUCUACUUUAAUCAAGGUUCAUGGUGCUACAGAGGAGACAGGUCCUUGCAAGAACAUCUGGCAGCCAGAGUGGUAAUGUGAAUGCUUGGAAUUACUUAGUUGGGACAACACAAUGUGUCAGCAUUAAGCCACACAGGAUCAGAACAGUUCCUGUUAUGUGCAGGGAAACUGAAUAACUGAGAAUCACACGUUAGCCUCCAUUUUAUGGCUGGAAUCCCAGAAAUGCCAACGGGAACUGUGGAUGUUGACCAGAAAGAUGUGACCUAUCCAUCUCACUUGCAUGAAAGUGUGUGGUACCACCGUCCAACACAAAAGACUAAUGUGCCUGGAGAACAACAGCAACAGAGUGGCCGUAUAACAACAACAAGGACAAUAACAGUACCAUUUACAGAAUACGCAUUUGAUUUUAAAAAGACUUUUGAGUGAAUAGUUUCUACUCAAAAAGAAGGAGUUGGAAUUCUUUUUCCUCCUUGAAAUACUUAAUUCACUUAUCCAGGGCAUGAAUUAUGCAUGGGAUUUAAAAGGUAAGAGAUUUAUGCGAUCUCAAGGGAAACUGGAGUGUUGAAGAUGGGAUUUAAGAGUACCCUCUAUUAAUGAUGCCUUCUUAUUUGCUAAUGAGCAUGAAGAGUGAGAAUUGGAAGUAGAUAAUAUUACUCUUAUUAUUGCUUAAUGGGCACCUAAUUUAUUUAGACAAAUGGAGAUUUUGUUUGUUACAGAAUGCGUUAAAUAAUGUAAGCUAUUUUUCUCUGUUCUGAUUAAACAUAUUCUCUUAAAUUACCCUGAUUCUUCAAAAAAUAGACAUUGUUGCCUUUGUAAAGGAAAUAGAAUGCAACAUUAUAUCUUCAGCUGAAUUUUCUAAUAUGCUCAGCAAUUGAAGUUGCUUUCAUAAAUAGAUUUUCUGUUAAAAUUCUGAAUAGCAAAUAAUAUACAGAGAAAAUAGUGAUUCAUGCCAUCAUUAUGCCUUCUUCAUAUAAUAGGUCUCUAAACAAAAUUCCCAUGAGCAAUGAUGGGUCUUUAGGAAAUCAGCUAAUACUUAAAAGACACAAGAUAUGUUAUAGGCAUAUUUAUAAGCACUUUAUAUUCAUUAACCUAAUCCUUAUAACAAUCCUAACAAGAAAUUGCUAUAAUUAUAAUCUCAAUUUUUACAGAUGACAAAACUGAGGGAUAGAAAGUUUUAAUGAUUUAUAGGCAGUCACAAAACUAGUUCUCACCAAGGCAGUCUGGCUCCAGAGACUUCCUUUUAUGUUUGACACCACAUGACAUAACAAACAGAAAGCCUAUUAGCGGUUAAAUAAAAUAGCCUGGUAUUGGGAAGAGGAUUGACUG
rnacentral:lncRNA from 12 species